GAUGAACGCUGGCGGCGUGCCUAAUACAUGCAAGUCGAGCGAACAGACGAGGAGCUUGCUCCUCUGACGUUAGCGGCGGACGGGUGAGUAACACGUGGAUAACCUACCUAUAAGACUGGGAUAACUUCGGGAAACCGGAGCUAAUACCGGAUAAUAUAUUGAACCGCAUGGUUCAAUAGUGAAAGACAGUUUUGCUGUCACUUAUAGAUGGAUCCGCGCCGCAUUAGCUAGUUGGUAAGGUAACGGCUUACCAAGGCGACGAUGCGUAGCCGACCUGAGAGGGUGAUCGGCCACGCUGGAACUGAGACACGGUCCAGACUCCUACGGGAGGCAGCAGUAGGGAAUCUUCCGCAAUGGGCGAAAGCCUGACGGAGCAACGCCGCGUGAGUGAUGAAGGUCUUCGGAUCGUAAAACUCUGUUAUUAGGGAAGAACAAAUGUGUAAGUAACUAUGCACGUCUUGACGGUACCUAAUCAGAAAGCCACGGCUAACUACGUG
rnacentral:rRNA from 1 species